AAAAAAAAAAAAAAAAAAGAACAGAUAUAAUUUGUAAAUGUUUGAGCUUUGCUUAGUGAGAAAGGAGGGAGAAU